UACGAAGGGGGCUAGCGUUGCUCGGAAUGACUGGGCGUAAAGGGCGCGUAGGCGGAUGGCACAGUCAGAUGUGAAAUUCCCGGGCUUAACCUGGGGGCUGCAUUUGAUACGUGUGAUCUAGAGUGAGGAAGAGGGUCGUGGAAUUCCCAGUGUAGAGGUGAAAUUCGUAGAUAUUGGAAAGACCACCGAUGGCGAAGGCACUCUACUGGGCCACUACUGACACUGAGAGACGAAAGCUAGGGGAGCAAAUGGG
rnacentral:rRNA from 1 species